rnacentral:rRNA from 1 species
AGAGUUUGAUCCUGGCUCAGAGCGAACGCUGGCGGAAUGCUUAACACAUGCAAGUCGCACGGGGGCUUCGGCCUUAGUGGCGGACGGGUGAGUAACGCGUAGGAAUGUGUCCGAGGGUGGGGGAUAACGUUGGGAAACUGACGCUAAUACCGCAUAUCUCCUGAGGGAGAAAGCCGUGAGGUGCCCACGGAGCAGCCUGCGUCCGAUUAGCUAGUUGGUUAGGUAAAGGCUGACCAAGGCGACGAUCGGUAGCUGGUCUGAGAGGAUGAUCAGCCACACUGGAACUGAGACACGGUCCAGACUCCUACGGGAGGCAGCAGUGGGGAAUAUUGGACAAUGGGCGCAAGCCUGAUCCAGCAAUUCCGCGUGGGUGAAGAAGGUCUUCGGAUUGUAAAGCCCUUUCGUUGGGGACGAUGAUGACGGUACCCAAAGAAGAAGCCCCGGCUAACUUCGUGCCAGCAGCCGCGGUAAUACGAAGGGGGCUAGCGUUGCUCGGAAUGACUGGGCGUAAAGGGCGCGUAGGCGGCACAACUAGUCAGGCGUGAAAUUCCUGGG